rnacentral:lncRNA from 1 species
GCAAAUGCGUGCCAUGGCUGCACAUUGCCGAGAAAUGUGAGCCAUUGCUGCCCAUUGCCGAGAGAAAAGAAAAUUGGGCCACAUGGCUGCCCACAUUGCCGCGAAAAUCUGAGCAUGGCAGGGCAAAGCGUGCCAUGGCUGCCCAUUGCGAGAAAUUGUGAGCCAUUGCUUGCCCAUUGCCGAGGGGAAGAAAGGAAAAAUGGGCAAUGGGAUGCCCAUUGCCGAGAAAUCUGAGCCGAGGCUGGGCAAAUGUGUGCAUGGCCGCCCCAUAUUGCCGAGAAAAUUGUGAAGCCAUGCCCAGAAAUUUGAGCCAUGGCUGCCCAUUGCCAGAAAUUGUGCCAUUGCCUAAGAAAAGUGGGCCAUGGCUGCCCAGGCGAGAAAUCUGAGCCAUGGCAGGCAAAUGCGUGCCAUGGACUGCCCAGUGCCUAGAAAAUGGAGCCAUUUGCUCAGAAAGAAAUUUUACCAUGGCGACCAUUGCCAAGAAAUGUUGUGCCAUUGCCUAGAAAAUUGGGCCAUGGACUUCCCAUGCCGAGAAAUUAGGGGCAUGGCCGGCAAAUGCGUGCAUGGCUGGCAUUGCCGCGGAAUGAGUGCCAUUGCCGGAAAUGUGAACCAUGGCUGGGCAAUUGCCGAGGGAAAAUUGGGCCAUGGCCUGGGCAUUUGUGUGCACGGAUGAUCAUUGCCUAGAGAACUUUGAGCCAUUGCCCAGGAAGAAAUUUGAGCCAUGGCUGGCCAUUGCGAGGAAAUCUUGAGCCAUGGCCGGGCAAAAAAUACGUGCCAUGGCUGCCCGAUUGCCUAGAAAUGAGAGCCAUGGCCCAGGAAAGAAAUUUGAGCCAUGGUGCCCAUUGCAAGAAAUGUUGUGCCAUUGCCUAGAAAAUUGGGCCAUGGCUUCAUUCCGAGAAAAUAGAAAUUAGGAUGGCGAGGCAAAUGCGUGGCUGGGCUGGCCAUGGCCGAGGAAAUGAGUGCCAUUGCGAGAAAUGGGAACCAUGGCGGGCAAUCUGCCGAGAGAAAAAUUGGGCAUGGCUGGGACAAAUGUGUGCCUAGGCUGAUCAUUGCCUAGAAAAUGGGAGCCAUGCCCAGGAAAAAUUGGGCCUAUGGCUGCCCAUUGCCGAGAAAUCUGAGGCCAUGGCCUGGCAAAUGCUGCCAUGGCUGCCCAUUGCCGAGGAAAGAAAUUGUAGCCCUUUGCCCAGAAUUUUGAGCCAUGGGGCCAUUGCCUGAGAAAUGAGGUGCCAUUGCUGGAAAAUGUGAGCCUGGCUGGGCAAUGCCGAGGAAAUGUGAGCCAUUGCCCAGAAAUUUUAGCCAUGGCUGGCCAUUGCCGAGAAAUGAUGUGCCAUUUCCUGGAAAUGUGAGCCCUUGCUGGGCAAUUGCCAGGAAAUUUUGAAGCCAUGGCUGCCAUUUGACCCGAGAAAAAUUGUGCCAUUGCCGAGGAAAAUGGGCACAUGGAUGGCAAUUUCCAAGAAAUUGUUAGCCAUUGCCUGCAAUUGCCGAGAAAUGUGAGCCAUUGCCCAGAAAUUUUAGCCAUGGCUGGCCAUUGCCGAGAAAUGAUGUGCCAUUGCCUGGAAAUGUGAGCCCUUGCUGGGCAAUUGCCCAGAAAUUUGAGCCAUGGCUGCCCAUUGCCGAGAAAUUUUGUGCCAUUGCCGAGAAAAUUGGGCCAUGGUUGCCCAUUGCCGAGGAAAUGAGUGCCAUUGCCGAGAAAUGUGAACCAUGGCUGGGCAAUUUCCGAGAAAAUUGGGCCAUGGCUGGGCAUUUGUGUGCCACGGCUGAUCAUUGCCUAGAAAAUUUGAGCCAUGGCUGGCCAUUGCCGAGAAAUGUUGUGCCAUUGCCGAGAAAAUUGGGCCAUGGCUGCCCAUUGCCGAGAAAUUUGAGCCAUGGCCGGGCAAAUGUGUGCCAUUGCUGCCCAUUGCCGAGAAAUUGUGAGCCAUUGCUGCCCAUGGCCGAGAAAAUUUGUGCCAUUGCCGAGAAAAUUGGGCCAUGGCUGCCCAUUGCCGAGGAGGGGAUGGAAAAUUGAGUGCAUUGCGAGAAGAAAUGUGAACCAUGGGCUGGGCCCAUUGCCGAGAAAAAUUGGGCCAUGGCUGGGCAUUGGUGUGCCAAGGCCAGAUCAUUGCUCAGAAAUUGAAGCAUGGCUGGCCAGCCGAGAAUGUGUUGCCAUUGCCGAGAAGAAAGAAAUUUGGGCCAUUGCCGGGCAAAGUGUGCCAUUGUGCCCAUUGCCGGAAAAUUGGUGCCAUUGCCGAGAAUUGGGCCCAUGGCUGCCCAUUGCCGGAAGAAGAGAAAUCGAGCCAUUGCUCCCAUUGCCGAGGAAAAUGGAGGCCAUUGCCGAGAAAAUGUGGAACCAGGUGGGCAAUUGCCGAGAAAAUUGGGCCAUGGUUGGGCAUUUGUGUGCCAUGCUGAUCAUUGCCCAGAAAUUUGAGCCAUGGCUGGCCAUUGCGAGAAAUGUGUGCCAUGCCGAGAAAAAUUGGUCCAUGCUGCCCCAUUGCGAGAAAUCUGAGCCAUUGCGCCCCAGCCCAUUGCUGAGCGGGAAAUGAGUGCCAAUGCCGAGAAAUGUGAACCCAGGCUGGGCAAUGCCGAGGAAAAUGGGCAAUGGCGGGCAUUUUGUGUGCCAUUUGCUGAUCAUUGCCCAGAAUUGAGCCAUGGCUGGCCAUUGCCGAGAAAUGUUGUGCCAUUGCCGAGGAAAAUUGGGCCAUGGCUGCCCAUGCCGAUCAAUCUGCGCCAAUUGGCCGGGCAAAUUGUGCCAUUGCUGCCCGAUUGCCGAGAAAUUGUGGAGCCAUGCUGCCAUUGACGAGGAAAUUUGUGCCAUUGCGAAGAAAAUUGGGCCAUGGCUGCCAUUGCCAGAAAUCUGAGCCAAUGGCUGCCCAUUGCCGAAGGAAAGUGAGUGCCCUUUCCCGAGAAAUGUGAACCAUGGCUGGGCAAUGCCGAGAAUUGGGCCAUGGCUGGGCAUUGUGUGCAAGACAGAUCAUUGCCCAGAAAAGGACAAAAUUUGAGCCAUGGCUGGCCAUUGCCGAGAAAAUGUUGGCCAUUGCCGAGAAGAAAAUUGGGCAAUGGCUGCCCAUUGCCGGGGAAGAAGAAAUAUGAGCCAGCCGGGCAAAUGUGUGCCUUGCUGCCCAAUUGCCUAGAAAUUGUGAGCCAUUGACUGCCCAUUGCCGAAGAAAAGAGAAAGAAAAUUUUGUCCAUUGACGGAGAAGUGGGACCAUGGCACUUGCCCAUUGCCGAGAAAUCUGAGCCAUGGCCGGGCAAAUGCGUGCCAUGGCUGCCCAUUGCCGAGGAAAUGAGUGCCAUUGCCGAGAAAUGUGAGCCAUGGCUGGGCAAUUGCCGAGAAAAUUGGGCCAUGGCUGGGCAAAUGUGUGCCACGGCUGAUCAUUGCCCAGACAAUGUGAGCCAUUG